CACAAACUGAGGGGAGAACUCCUGAACCAGGUGAUGAUUUGUCCACAAUCACGGACCAGGAUACAAGCUCAGAUUCAGCAUCUGUACUAACUCCGCAAGCAGAGUGGAUGUGGAUAACUCCUGAACCAAGCGAUGAUUUGUCGACUAUCACGGACACAGAUUCAAGCCCAGAUCCAACAUCUCUACCAACUCCAAAAAGUGAGGGGACAACUCCUGAGCCAAGGGAUGAUUCGUCCACAAUUACGGACCAGGAUACAAGCUCAG